CUGGGCAGCUGGCCCAGCAGGCGCUCUCAGGUCCCCAGGCCGCCGCAUAGCAGAGGGCCGCGUGGGAAGCCGGGCUCAGCGGUUUCCUUGGCGACCGGCCUUCUCCCGCAGCCAGCCACCGGCUCCAGGUCCUGGAAGCACCGCAAGCAACCAACUUUUUAUCCAGGCUUACAGAGGGUUACAGGAGACCCAAAGAGCAAGUAACUUCAGGGUACCAAGAUUCUGAUUUGAAGCCAUCAGCUUGACCACUUAUGGGGCUCUGUCAUGGAAGGGGCUUGGGAAAAUCUAUGUCUAGAGGUAUCACCUUAAGAUAGUGGUUCAAGAAGUUACACCAAACCACUUCUUGGAUGAAGAACAGAAGCAAGAAGACCCAGAAAUGAGCUAUGGUGUGGAUCAGAUUACUAAAUUUUUGCUAAGCUUGCUCAGCAUAUUUCAACUUUUUGGAUACUGUUUUCUUGAUGUAUCUUAGGGGUAUCUUUUCCUACAAACCAAAAUAAUCUCAUCAAGAUUGUCACCGGUAAUAAAAUAAUAGGUGAGUGGAGGAUAUCUUCACUAAUCAACUCCCCCUUCUCCAGUGUCCAGGCAAUGGUGCUGCUAUUCAAUUCCUUGCUGGGAAUCCUUGCAUUGAAUGUGCUGUGAACAGCCUGAAAGAGCUAUUAAGAAGACCAGAAGUAGUGUGAGAACCUAUAAACACAUGAAUAAAGGACAUCUGGAGAUCAGGCAUAAAUGUCUGUCUGUCAGCUGAUAAAUAUAAUCAAAGGGGGAAGGAGAAGUAAGUGGCUAUCAAUCUUUUUUUGAGGGGACUCAGAUCCUCUUGAAGAUCUGAUGAGAGCUGUCGGCCUUCUUCCCAGAAAAAUGCAUGUGCACAGAAUUCUUUCCACAUUACUUCAGAGGGUUUAGAGACUCCAGGAAAAGCCCACAGGCCUGGAGUAAGGAACUCCUGGGAUGGAGGGACUCCAUGGGGAAGACAAGUGGAGAACAUAAAAUUUUAGUUUGGGAACAGGCCUGAAGAGGCAGUGUCUCUGGAAUUCCAUGGUGCUGGUGGGCAGAGAGCACCGUUUCUGCUUAAAUCAAUGGAGGAGGGAAGAGGGUUGGAGGUUUGAAACCAGGGGCUCCUUGUACAGCUAGGCUCAAAAUCUAGAUGCAUUUUGGAAGUAACAAACUGUGGAUGGACAGGAUGUAGAGCACAAGUCAGAGAUGACUUCUGAGGAAAUGGAAAGACAACAGUUGCUGUUAACUGAAGCAGGCAACUGGAGGAGGAAGGAGGGUUCACCCUUGGACUUGAUCAGUUGGAGAUGCCUGUUAGAAAUACAGAGGGAAGUAUCAA